rnacentral:tRNA from 1 species
GGUAAGAUGUCUGAAUUGUAGGUGAUAGACUGUAAAUCUAUUUAUGGAAGGUCUUCCUCUUACCA